GGGAAUCUGUUUUUAUACCAGCAAUAUUUUCAAGUCAGCAGGAUUUUCUGCCACUGUUGGGACAAUAAUUUAUGCCAUUCUUCAGGUUGUGAUUACUGGCCUUAAUGCAACUGUGAUUGAUAAUGCAGGAAGAAAGCCUCUAUUACUGGAAAAUUUAGAGCAAAUAACAGUUAUCAGGUCCUUAAAUAGCUGAACCAACUCACUCCUAUGGAUAGAAGGUCAAUCUCAUAUUUUCCUUUCUUUCUAGGUUUCUUCAAAAGGAUUGGUCCUUGCCUGUUUACUAUCUGGGAUUUCAUUCUAUCUUAAGGUUAAAAUAUCAAACUAUCAUCAUCUAUAACUGCAGUCUCCUUUGUCGUUGUCAAUUACUAAUAUUUUGGUCAUCUUUGGCAACCAGGAUCAUAAUCUGGCACUUAUUUAAUUCAGUUCCCAUU